GGGGAUUUAGCUCAGUGAUAGAGCACUUGCCUAGCAAGUGGAAGGCCCUGGGUUCGGUCCCCAGCUCCG
rnacentral:tRNA from 1 species